UUGAGGAUCAUUUUUAGUGGGUACAUAGAUUUGAUGUUAGCAAAAUACCCUUUUCAAGAGGGAUGUGAAUUUAAUAAUUUUAUCUCACUUCACUUUCCCUCACCGCCACUUUAAGUACUUCUCAAGAGAACAACCAUGGCUGCCAUUAUAAGUCAAAUGGCCGCUAAUAAGCGUGCCCGACAAAAAAGAAAUGUUUGUGAGAUCCAUAGUGAUAAGUGCGUUUAUAACAUUCCCCCAUUUGAUCGCACCUUUGAUCCCUUUAUUCAUAAUAAAUAUCUCCGAUCCAAGAAGCUGAUGGAAGAUAGGAUCUCCAAGAAUCAAAGGAACAACUUAAAUUGAGCCCGGAGCUCAUCAAUACGAAGCCCUGUUUCGAGGGUUCAAUCAAAUUUAAUACCAUCUUUCUCUCCAUAUCCAUUGGUUUUCUACUUGCUAUUAUAAUAUAUAUAGGAGUAAUGUGGAAGCAUGCCAUUGAUGCAAAUACGAGUCAUCCAUCUUUUUUUUAAAUUACUUCUCUAACGUCAUAUCCUUUUAUAUCAACUUGUAUUAUGUAUUAUUGUACAUUGCAUGUUAAUUAUUAUGUCUUCCUAUUUUUGAGCUCAUCCAGGAAUAUUCCAUCCAAAUUAGAUUUUAUUAUUUGUUAGAAGUAGCAUUAGACACCAAAUGACUAUUUGUGUUUUCCUCUUUCGUACUUUUCAAUUAUUUCAAUUUUGUAAUAUAUCCAGUAGCCCCUAGCCAAAUUACCUUGGUAUUUGUAUGAUUUCUUGACUUGCAAGAAUCUGAUUGGAUUCCAAGCCCAGCUUUUCUUGUCAAUCAAAAAGUUUAAUUCGUUUUCCUUGAUAGUUUCUCAAGAAUUUAUAGUAAUUCCCUUAAAAAAAAAUUCAAAAAAAAAUCUCGGAGAUUGAUUUUUUUUCCUACCAUUUUUUUCAAUAGCCGAGGAGCACAACAAAAUACUUUUUUUAUGAGUCAUUGAAAAUCGAAUUUAGAAUUUAAAAAAUAGCUAUCUCUCUUUUUAAGAUUGUCGUAUAGAUCUUAUCAAAGUAUUUAUGUGUUUUUAAAAAAAAAACGUGAACAUUUUUUGAAA
rnacentral:misc_RNA from 1 species